rnacentral:lncRNA from 10 species
UCCCAACUACUCAGGAGGCUGAGGCGGGAGAAUUGCUUGAACCCGGGAGGCAGAAGUUGCAGUGAGCCAAGAUCAUACCACUGCACUGCAGCCUGGGCUGCAGAGUGAGACUCUGUCUCAAAAACAAAACAAACAAACAACAACAACAAAAAUUUUACCUUAUGGUUAAACUGAUUAAGACUGAAUAGAAUGGGAGGCUGAGGUGGGUGGAUCACAAGGUCAAGAGAUCGAGACCAUCCUGGCUAACAUAGUGGAACCCUGUCUCUAUUAAAAAUACAAAAAAUUAGCUGGGCGUGGUGGCAUGUGCCUGUAAUCCCAGCUACUCAGGAGGCUGAAGCAGGAGAAUCACUUGAACCCAGGAGGUGGAGGUUGAGCACAACUUGCUCGUACUUUUAGCUUUAUCCUAUCUAUUUCCACUUGAACCCGGGAGGCAGAGGUUGCGGUGAGCCGAGAUCACGCCAGCCUGGGUGACAGAGCGAGACUCGGUCUCAAAAAAAAGACAAAAACAGAAAAAAAAGGCUGGGCGCGGUGGCUCACAUCUGUAAUCCCAGCACUUUGGGAGGCCAAGACCAGCGGAUCACGAGGUCAGGAGCUCGAGACCAGCCUAACCAACAUGGUGACACCCCAUCUCUACUAAAAAUACAAAAAUUAGCCACGCAUGGUGGCAUGUGCCUGUAGUCCCAGCUACUUGGGAGGAUGAGGCAGAAGAAUCGCUUGAACCCAGGAGGCAGAGGUUGCAGUGAGCCAAGAUCGCCGCACUGCACUCCAGCCUGGGCAACAGAGUGAGCGAGACUCCAUCUCAAAAAGAAAACAAAAUUGAAUAGAUUUGUCUGUAAGGUUAAGAGUUGGGUUUGACAUCAAUAGUGCACUAAUGCUAAGGUAACAUCUGGCUUUCUUUGGACUGUAUUUGUGUAAAUGUGUUAUUGGUAUGUGUUCCAAAAUUAUGCAAAACUCCUAUAAUUCUAAUAUAACAUAGUAUAUACAUUAGGCUGGGCGUGGUGUCUCAUGCCUGUAAUCCCAGCACUUUGUGAGGCCGAGGCAGAUGGAUCACCUGAGGUCAGGAGUUCGAGACCAGCCUGACCAAUAUGAUGAAACUCCAUCUCUACUAAAAAUAUAAAAAUCAGCCGGGCAUGGUGGCAUGUGCCUGUAAUUCCAGCUACUUGGGAGGCUGAGAUAGGAGAAUCACUUGAACCCAGGAGGCAGAGGUUGCAGUGAGCUGAGAUUGCACCAUUGCACUCCAGCCUGGGCAACAAGGGCAAAAUUCCAUCUCAAAAAAAAAAUAAAAAUAAAAAUAAAAUAAUUUAGUAUACAUUAUCUAUAAUAAUUAUUGUUAUGUUAAAUUCUUGUGUGCCACAGAGGUAACAAAUUUCCUUGUCAAUUUUGUCUUUGUCUGUGGCUACCCUAAAACUUUUUGUCAUCUAUAUACAAUUGGUGUCUUGUUUUAAACCUCUUUAAAAGGUGAUUUUAUAAUCAGAUCUAGGACUCUAACAAGUGCUCUUAAAUGCAGGUUUCUGGUAACUUUGGAGAUUGCGACAUUAGAAUAAAGGAAAAAACUUUCAGGACUCUCCUGGAGAGCUAAAAUGUUCAUGAAUAUCAAGCAGAAUGAGUUAAUUGCAUGGACUAAACUAGUAGAAGACUGAAAUAAUCCUCAUGACUUUUGGCUUAACACAUUGCUAAUCCUUUGUCAAAGUCAAGAAAACUUUUUUUUGAGCUAUGUACAGCUUUUAACAACUGAGUAAAGCAUAUACCUGUGAAUUAGUUUGCUUUCAUUCUGCUAUAAAGAACUACCUGAGACUGGGUAAUUUAUGAAAAAACAGAAGAGAUUUAAAUGAUUCAUAGUUCCACGGGCUCAACAGGAAACAUGACUGGGAGGCCUCAGGAAACUUAAAAUCAUGGUGGAAGGUGAAGGGCAAGCAAAGACCUCCUUCACGUGGUGGCAGAAGAGAGAGCGAGCGAAGGGGGAAAUGCCACACACUUUCCAACAACCAGAUCUCAUGAGAACUCACUAACAUGAAAAGAGCAAGGUGAAGUCCACCCUCAUGAUUCAAUCACCUCCUACCAGACCCCUCCCCCAACACUGGCAAUUACAAUUCCAGAUGAGAGAUUUGAGUGGGGACACAGAGCCAUACCGUAUCAUUUUACCCCUGCCCCCUCUUAAAUCUCAUGUCCUUCUCACAUUUCAAAACCAAUCAUGUGGCCAAUAUGGUGAAACCCCGUCUCUACUAAAAAUACAAAAAUUAGCCAGGCAUGGAGUUGGGUACCUGUAAUCCUAGCUACCUGGGUGGAUGAGACAGAAUUGCUCAAACCCAGGAGGCAGGGGUUGCAGUGAGCCGAGAUUGCACCACUGCACUGCAGCUGGGUGACAGAACGAGACUCUGUCUAAAAAAAAAACAAAAAACAAACAAUCAUGCCUUCCCAACAGUUCCCCAAAGUCUUAACUUAUUCCAGCAUUAACUCAAAAGUCCAAGUCCAAAGUCUCAUCUGAGACAAGGCAAGUCCCUUCCACCUAUGAGCCUGUAAAAUAAAAAAUAAAAAACAAGUUAGUUACUUUCAAGAUACAAAGGAGGUACAGGCAUUGGGUAAAUGCCCCCCUUCAAAAAGGGAGAAAUUGGCCAAAAUAAAAGGGCUACAGGCCCCUUGCAAGUCCAAAACCCAGCAGGACAGACAUUAAAUCUUAAAGCUCCAAUAUAAUCUCCUUUGACUCCAUGUCUCACAUCCAGGGUAUGCUGAUGGAAGGGGUAGGCUCCCACGGUCUUGGGCAGCUCUACCCCUGAGGCUCUGCAGGGUACAGUCCCAGUGGCUGCUUCCAAAGGUUGGCAUUGAGUGCCUGCAGCUUUUCCAGGUACAUGGGGCAAGCUGUCAGUGGAUCUACCAUUCUGGGAUCUGGAGGAGGGCGGCCCUCUUCUCACAGCUCCACAAGGCAGUGGCCCAUGGGGACUCUGUGUGGGGGCUCAAACCCAUUUCUUCUCCAACUGCCCUAGCAGAGGAUCUGCAUGAGGGCUCUGCUCCUGCAAUAGAGUUCUGCCUGCACAUCCAGGCAUUUCCAUAUAUCCUCUGAAAUCUAGGUGGACGUUCCCAAACCUCAACUCUUGCCUUCUGUGCACCUGCAGGUCCAACACCACGUAAAAGCUGCCAAGGCUUGGGGCCUGCACUCUCUGAAGCAAUGGCCUGAGCUGUACCUUGGCUGCUUUUAGCCACAGCUGGAGAUGGAGCAGCUGGGAUGCAGGGUGCCAUGUCCUGAGACUGCACAGAGAAGCAGGGCCCUGGGCCUGGCCAACAAAACCUUUUUCCCCUCCUAGGCCUCCAGGCCUGUGAUGGGAGGGGGUGCUGAGAAGGUCUCUGACAUGCCCUUGAGAUAUUUUCCCCAUUGUCUUUGCUAUUAAUAUUUGGCUCCUCUUUACUUAUGCAAUGCAGCCAGCUUGAAUUUCUCCCCAGAAAAUGUUUUUUCUUUUCUACAACAUGGUCAGGCUGUGAAUUUUCCCAACUUUUAUCCUCUGCUUCCCUUCUAAACAUAAGUUCCAAUUUCAAACCAUCUCUUUGUGAAUGCAUAUGACUCUAUGCUGUUAGCAGCAGCCAGGCCAAUCUUGAAUCCUUUACUGUUUAGAAAUUUCUUCCACCAGAUACCCUAAAUCAUCUCUCUCAAGUUCAAAGUUCCACAGAUUCCUAGUGCAGGAUCACAAUGCCACCAGUCUCUUUGCUAAAGCAUAAGAAGAGUGACCUUUGCUCCAGUUCCCAGUAAGUUCCCAUUGCCAUCUGAGACCACCUCAACCUAGACUUCACUGUCCACAUCACCAUAAGCAUUCUGAUCACAACCAUUCAACAAGUCUCUAGGGAGUUCCAAACUUUCCCUCACCUUCCUGUCUUCUUCUGAGCCCUCCGAACCCCUCCAACUUCUGCCUGUUACCUAGUUCCAAGGUGACUUCCACAUUUUCAGGUAUCUUUAUAGCAAUACAGCACUCCUGUUACCAAUUUUCUGUAUCUGUUUUCACAUUGCUAUAAAGAACUACCUGAGACUGGGUAAUUUAUGAAAAAAAGAGGUUUCAUUGACUCACAGCUCCACAAGCUUAACAGGAAGCAAGACUGGAAGGCUUGGGAAACCAUGGCAGAAGGCAAAGCGGAAGGAAGGACCUUCUUCACAUGGUGGCAGGAGAGAGAGAGCAUGAAGGGAGAAAUGCCACACACUUAAUAAACAACCAGAUCUCAUGAGAACUCACUAUCACAAGAAAAACAAGAGGAAGUCCACCUCCAUGAUUCAAUCACCUCCUACCAGCUCCUCCCCCAACACAUAGGAAUUACAAUUCAAGAUGAGAUUUGGGUGGGAACACAGAGCCAAACCAUAUCAACCUGUAAACAAUAUUUGGAACAUAGUUGUUUCUCUGCAUCUGAUUUCUUCAGAAUUUGGAAACUAUUUGUGAGUAUUCUUAACUUAUGGGAAUAUAGUCAUUUGCUAUAUUAUUGCUUAUUUGCAAUAAGAAUCUGUUUUCUUUUGCAACAGGACACAAUUGGAGGAACUGGUUAUUUUACCAAGGCUUUGACUAGAAUGGCAUGCUGUCCUUUAAGAAAUCACACUGGAUUUAUAGAGCCCAUAAAAGCCCCAUGGGAGAAACGGGCCCCAUACCUUGUCUACACAGUCCCUGUUCAAGGUUCCUGACCUGUGGCCAUCAAGCUAUAGAUGAUCUUCAGUGAGGGAUACCCUCCUCUCAAUAUUCAAGAGUCACCCUUCUACGGGUGACCCCUAGACUGCCCAUCAGUGAGACAUGACAGAGGUGAAAUUCUGCCCCGUCUCCCUUGGGACCUGGCUGGAUACCACUUUCACCAACCCACAGAGCCACCCUGCUGUGACAACUAGCAAGAGGCUAAGACCCACAGAACCACCACCACCCCUCUGUCAGCAGGAAGUAGUUACAGAAGACUGCCCUUCAUCCAUUUCCCCCAAAGAAUUGGGGUCUUGAACUCCAGAGGGGGGAAAUAUUAUAGCAGUUAGCUAGUCAGGCAUGAGCAGAGCAGGAAAGGGCUCCCCGAUAACAGGAAUUUCAGGCGACUAUCAGGUGAUGGUCAGGCAGCUGUCACACUGUCUCUCUAAAUUAAUAACUGGUUGUAGCUGGUGCCAGAAAAAGGCAGUCUCCAAAUAGACAGAACACCUGAAACGUGAUCAGCAGCCUCCCUAUAAGAUCUCAGGAGUUGGGUGAGUGGGAUCAAGCAUGCACAUUAAGAGGCAAAAUGGCAGAGUUUAACUGGUACAUGACCUUCCAGGGACAUCCCACUGGCAAGGGAAGAAUGCCUCAAGUGAGCAUGUGUGCAACUCCAGUAAAUACACUGCACAUGUGAACAGCCCACCCUAAGGGAAUAAUCAGGGGAAGAGGAACACAAGAUCCCAGAAGUCUGCCAACAUAUAAAACCCCAAGUCAAAAGGUCAAACUGCACACUUAUCUUUCAAGUCGUCUGCUUGGCCCUUUUCCAAGUAUACUUUCCUUCCUUUUGUUCCUGCUCUAAAGCUUCUUAAUAAACUUUCACUCCUGCUCUAAAACUUGCCUCAGUGUCUCCUGCCUUCAGCACCUCAGCUGAAUUCUUUCUUCUGAGGAGAACUGAGGUUGCUGCAGACCCAUAUGGAUUCGCUACUGGUAACAAUACUACCUGGGUAUCGCUGCUGUUUAUUCUUUCUACUUUUAUAUGUCUCAAAAGGUUUUUAUUUGACCUUCCUUUGUGAAAGACAUUCUCACUAGAUAUAGAUUUCUAUGUUGGCUGUAUUUUACUUUCAUUACUUUAAAGAUAUUGAUUUACUCUUUUCUGAUUUGCAUUAUUUGCAAUAAAAAGUCUAUAUACUUAAUGUGUCUUUUUUUCCUGCCUGCUUUUAAGAUUUUUCUUUUUUAUCACUAGUUUUAAGCAAUUUGGUUAAUGUCUUGGUAUAUUUAAUCAUGUUUUAUGUUCUUCCGGCUCACUGAAGUAUUUGGCUCUUGUGUGGGUAUAUAAUUUUCAUCAAAUAUAAACAUUUUUGGUCAUUAUUUUUAAAUAGUCCUUCUGCUUCCACCCUCCCACCUCAUAUUUCUCUCCUUCUGGGACUCUAUUUACAAGUACAUUAUAUCACUUUUUGUUGCCGUAUAGCCAUUAAACUCUGUUCAUUUUAAUUUCCAAUCUUUCUUCUGUGUUUCAUUUUGGAUAGUUUUUAUUGCUGUGUGUUCAAAUCCACUAAUAUUUUUUUUCCUGUGGUUUCCAGUUUGCUGUUAAUAUCAUCCAGUGUAGAUUUCUGUAUUUGUCAUAUUUAGAAGUUCAACAUAGGUUAUUAUCUUCUGUGUAUCUCUUUGUCAUGGUUCUUUAAUUGUUUUAAUGUCUUUAUUAACUUUAUCAUAUGUGCCAUUUCAAGGUUUAUUUCUAUUGACAGACUUUUCAUCUACUUAUUUUACUGUUUGCAUUUUCCCCUCCAUGAGCUACAGCCUAGACACUCUCUAGACAGUAAGCUGGGACAAAGAUAGGGUUCAUCUCAUUUGUUUUCCUUCUCCUAGGAAAUACUGUCCUGAGCUUCCUGUUGUCCAAUGUCUGGAAACCGGUGUUUCAUGUAUUUUUAUCCAGUUUCCUGGUUAAGGUAGGAAGGUAAAUCCAAUUCUUGUUGUUCCAUCAUGGCCGGAAGUAGAAACUACUUAUGUUUUUUGAUCCUACUGAAUGACCUUCCAUAUAGUCUGAUGUCUAGUAAUAAGGUAAACCGGCCUAUAAUUAAAGUAAUGCACUCAGUGGAUUAGCCAUUGUGUCAGUGGCAUCUUGUUUUAUGUGCUGACAAAGGAUUUCUUCUCUCUUGAAGGUUUUUAAUGGACCAUUCUCUUCAAUUGUGUUUUUCUCCCAAGUUUUUAUUUUUAAAAAUGUGAAGCUUAACUAAAAUUUGAGAAAACUGAACAAUGAACAUACAUAAGCCUUUCAUCUAGAUUAAUCAAUUGUUAAUAUUUUGCCAUGGAUGCUUUAUUUCUCUUUUUAUAUUUUUCAACCAAUUAAAAGUAAGUUCUGGCCGAGUGCGGUGGCUCACACCUGUAAUCCCAGCACUUUGGGAGGCCGAGGUGGGCUGAUCACCUGACGUCGGGAGUUGGAGACCAGCCUGAACCAACAUGGCGAAACCUCGUCUCUAGUAACAAUACAAAAAAUUAGCUGGGCAUGGUGGCAUAUGCCUGUAAUCCAAGCUACUCGGGAGGCUGAGGCAGAAGAAUCACUUGAACCCAGGAAGCAGAGGUUGUGGUGAGCCAAGAUCGUGCCAUUGCACUCCAGCCUGGGCAACAAGAGCAAAACUCUGUCUCAAAAAAAAAAGUAAGUUCCACACCUAAAUAUUCAUCCUGCAUCUCCCAAGAAGAGGGAAUUCUCUUAUAUAACCACAACAGCAUUGUUCUACCUAAGAAAUGUAAUUGACGUAAUAAUAGUAAUAUACAGCCCAUAUUCAAAUUUCUCCAAUUAUCCUUAAAGCUUUUCUUUUUCUAGAUUCACAAUCCAAUCAAGAAUACGGUUGAUAAGGCCGGGCUCGGU